UAGGUCUUCAGCAAGACUUGGUUCCUGGU
rnacentral:piRNA from 1 species